UACGAAGGGGGCUAGCGUUGCUCGGAAUCACUGGGCGUAAAGGGCGCGUAGGCGGCCAUUCAAGUCAGGGGUGAAAGCCUGUGGCUCAACCACAGAAUUGCCUUUGAUACUGUUUGGCUAGAGACCGGAAGAGGUAAGUGGAACUGCGAGUGUAGAGGUGAAAUUCGUAGAUAUUCGCAAGAACACCGGUGGCGAAGGCGGCCUGCUGGGCAGUGGCUGACACUGAGGCGCGACAGCGUGGGGAGCAAACAGG
rnacentral:rRNA from 1 species